GACGAACGCUGGCGGCAGGCCUAACACAUGCAAGUCGAGCGAGCGGCGGACGGGUGAGUAAUGUAUGGGGACUGCCCGAUAGAGGGGGAUAACUACUGGAAACGGUGGCUAAUACCGCAUACUAUCGGAUAACCCAUAUGGGAUUAGCUAGUAGGAGGGGUAAAGGCUCACCAAGGCGACGAUCACGAGCUGGUCUGAGAGGAUUAUCAGCCACACUGGAACUGCGACACGGUCCAGACUCCUACGGAGGCAGCAGUGGGGAAUAUUGCACAAUGGGCGCAAGCCUGAUGCAGCCAUGCCGCGUGUAUGAAGAAGGCCUUAGGGUUGUAAAGUACUUUAAGCGGGGAGGUGUUACCCGCAGAAGAAGCACCGGCUAACUCCGUGCCAGUAGCCGCGGUAAUAC
rnacentral:rRNA from 1 species